UACGUAGGGACCAAGCGUUGUUCGGAUUUACUGGGCGUAAAGGGCGCGUAGGCGGCGUGUUAAGUCAGCUGUGAAAUCUCCAAGCUUAACUUGGAGCGGUCAGCUGAUACUGAUGUGCUAGAGUGCAGAAGGGGCAACCGGAAUUCUUGGUGUAGCGGUGAAAUGCGUAGAUAUCAAGAGGAACACCUGAGGUGAAGACGGGUUGCUGGGCUGACACUGACGCUGAGGCGCGAAAGCUAGGGUAGCAAACGGG
rnacentral:rRNA from 1 species